GGCUUGAGAAUCAUUUUCAAUUUGCUGGCUGCCACCGCAGGGAGAGGGCAGCGGCGGGAGAGGCUUCUCAGCAACCUGUUUCAUGGCUUUAUUUUCGCAACCGAGGGUCUUGCCAAAGAAAGAGAGAAACGUCCUUUAAUUAUAACUUUUCCUCUUGUUGGCGGUCUUGUUGGCAAAAACAAUGGCUUGCUGUAAAUGUGAUGCCUUUAUGACUCUUUUCAAGUCGCGUUCCUUUUGUGGAUGAGAUGGGUUGUUUAUGAGAUUCAGCGUUCUGGAGUUGAGCCAGUGACACAUGCAAUGCAAAGGGAAGACAAACUUGAAUUAUGUCUUUUAAAAAAAACAUUUCUAAAGCCCUUUUCUUACCAAAAGUAACUUUCUUCUCUCCCCCCCCCCCCACCGCCCCACUAUGCAAUCUGUGGAAAAUAAGCCUGUCAACAUUGUUUAGGAUCUCAUCUGUGUCUUUAGGGGAACACGAGGUAACGUUGGAUUUUUCUCCCUUUCCAAAGCUUCUGGGAGCUAUCAGGAAAGUGACAGUGUGUGGUAGAAAAGCUACUGAAGAUGGUGAAAUUAUUCUCCUUGAUGAGGGUACUCGUCUUGUCCAAAUAAUUCUAUUGCCUGGGAGAUCCAGAUGGAGUAGGAUGUCUUAGGUCAAGGGUAUUCAAGCUUUUGGAAUUCUGACACACUCAAUAAAAUGGCUGCCACAGCUUUACCUUCCAACAUAUAGUAAAGAUCCCUGUGCUUUGGUGACAGGUGGUACCAAAACAACAUUUUUUAAAAUCUGCUCAGUCAAUAAAAUCUCCAGUCAGAAGUUUUGCUAGUCAAAAGCUGCACCCAGUCCACAGAUUUUCUAAAAAAAACACUGUGUGAAUGCCAAGAAAGGUAUUGCCGGGUACCUUGGCACCCACAGGCAACAUGUUUCCCCCUGAGGGCCUUUAAGGGGGAUCCCCCCAAGGGAAUUCUGUCAGGAACAGCUAUACCUGUUGGCUCGCACUUCUCACCUUGAUGUCCCAUAAUGCUUUGCUGGUCCUCUCUGUUGCAAUCCAUACUUUCUGCUUCUCAGCUGCUUGAUUUGCACUGUCCCAAAUAGCAGCCCCAACAAACCACUGAGGCACUCCCAUCCCAUUUUCAAAUUAUCUUGAGUUCCAAAGGUCAGGAUUGGGGAUUUGCGGCUUAGCUGAUGAUAUCCUGCGUGGCACUGAGAAAUCGCACCUCUUUUUGCUCAAGAUCUGUCCUGUGGCUUUCAAUGAGGCUACUCUAAAGUAGCUGAGCUGAGGGCAUUGCUCUCAACAGGACUACUCAGGAGUAGCCAAGGUGAGAACAUUGCAGUCUUGUGUAUCCAGUGGACCUCCCUGAAAUGACCGACUGUGAACUCUGCCCAUAAAGAUGGUCACAAUGCUCUAGAACAAAUGACAAGAAUAAUAACCAUUCCAAUCAUUGUGAGGUGUAUGUUCUGCAAGGACUGUUGUGGAAGAGAGAAGCACUUAGUUUGCCCUAGAGUGGGUUUUGCUCUAUGAUUUCCUUCUUCAAUGUAGUCUGUAAUGGGGGGGGGAGGGGCCUCUGUCAUAUUUUGCAUUACAUAAUGCCAACAGGCCAACUCCAGAAUGAAAUGUUUCUUUUUAAUGAAGUCACACACAUUUCUUUUUUGAACUUCACUGGCAGUCCUACUAUAUUCCUGCCUAUAUAUGUAUAAAGGAAACACUUAUUUGUUUGAGAGAUUCUGGCGUUUUGUUUUUUUAUUAAAAAAAACACGAUGUAGCUCAAUGGGAUGGCUCUGAGGUUAAAAAAGAGAAACCUUUUUAUGUUUAACAAUAUUGUGUGGUUGAAAAUCCUUCCGUAUAAAUUUUGCACAUUCUUUCUCUUGCAUGUUCAACCUCUUAAGUUCUACAGCUGUUUGGAACAAGCAGUGAUGUAUUUUUUUUUUGUAAAUUGUUUUUUUGACACUGAAUUAUAAAUAAAAUGUUCAAAUAUUAUAAA